AGAGUUUGAUUCUGGCUCAGGACGAACGCUGGCGGCGUGCCUAACACAUGCAAGUCGAACGAGAAUCAACUUAUGAAGUUUCGGAUGGAUUAAGUUGAGGAAAGUGGCGAACGGGUGAGUAACGCGUGAGCAAUCUACCUUGUACUGGGGGAUAACGUCGGGAAACCGGCGCUAAUACCGCAUAAUACUAUGAGAUCGCAUGGUCAUAUAGUCAAAACUCCGGUGGUACAAGAUGAGCUCGCGUCCAAUUAGCUAGUUGGUGGGGUAAAGGCCCACCAAGGCGACGAUUGGUAGCCGAACUGAGAGGUUGAUCGGCCACAUUGGGACUGAGACACGGCCCAGACUCCUACGGGAGGCAGCAGUGGGGAAUAUUGCGCAAUGGAGGGAACUCUGACGCAGCAACGCCGCGUGAAGGAUGAAGGUUUUCGGAUUGUAAACUUCUUUGAUCGGGGACGAAAAUGACGGUACCCGAGGAACAAGCCACGGCUAACUACGUGCCAGCCGCCGC
rnacentral:rRNA from 1 species